GGGGGCGACACGGCUUCGACGGGGGUAAGGACUCGCGGGAUGCAUGCCGAGCGCCAUCGUCUCGUAAAUCCGGUGGAACACAACGUAACUGCGAACACGCAGCUGCCUCUCGCUGCUUAACUAACCCUUAAGUCAGCGACGUCCACCUCGUCCUCGCCUGUGGGGCGGGGCUGGAUGUCAUAAAUGCAGGCUGGUCGCCGCGGGCGGUUCCGACGCGCGGCGACGAGACUUAUCGGAGCUAGCGAUUGCCGGUUUCCGUCGCUCUUUGACGGCGGUCGCGAACUUUCAAGAGCGGCUAAGCAUGUAGACGCUCGCGACGGCGUACUCUCGGACGCGGGUUCGACUCCCGCCGCCUCCACCA
rnacentral:tmRNA from 1 species